GCUAGGCAUGGUGGCGCAUGCCUGUAAUCCCAGAGGAUCAGGAGUCUUAGGCAGGAGGAUCAUGAGUUCAAAACUAGCCUCAGAAACUUAGUGAGGCCUUAAGCAACUCAGUGAGACCCUGUCUUUA
rnacentral:sRNA from 1 species